rnacentral:RNase_P_RNA from 1 species
AAAAUAAAUCAUCUUAUCGCCUUUGAGCAAUCAAGGGAGGAAAGUCUGGACAACGUAGAGCAGCGUGCUUCCUAACGGGAAGGUAUUAAUUUGGAGACGAAUUGAUAACAGCAAGUGCAACAGAAAAUUACCGCCAAAUCUCGGUUUGGUAAGGGUGAAAAGGUAGAGUAAGAGACUACCGCUUGUUUGGUGACAAACAGGGCGUAUGUAAACCUCACGUGUUGAAAGACCAAAUAGGCUGACAGUUGUAGGGCUGCUCGCCUGAUGUCAGUGGGUAGGUCGAUAGAGCGUAUCGGUGACGGUGCGUCGAGAUAAAUGAUAAGACUUUUUAGUGAAAUACCUAAAAAUGACAGAAUCCGGCUUAUAGAUUUAUUUUCUAA